rnacentral:rRNA from 1 species
AUUGAACGCUGGCGGAAUGCUUUACACAUGCAAGUCGAACGGCAGCACGGGGGCAACCCUGGUGGCGAGUGGCGAACGGGUGAGUAAAGUAUCGGAACGUGCCCAGUCGUGGGGGAUAACGUAGCGAAAGUUACGCUAAUACCGCAUACGAUCUAUGGAUGAAAGCGGGGGAUCGCAAGACCUCGCGCGAUGCGAGCGGACGAUAUCAGAUUAGGUAGGUGGUGGGGUAAAGGCUCACCAAGCCGACGAUCUGUAGCUGGUCUGAGAGGACGACCAGCCACACUGGGACUGAGACACGGCCCAGACUCCUACGGGAGGCAGCAGUGGGGAAUUUUGGACAAUGGGCGAAAGCCUGAUCCAGCCAUGCCGCGUGCAGGAUGAAGGCCUUCGGGUUGUAAACUGCUUUUGUACGGAACGAAAAGGUUUGGCCUAAUAAGCUGAGCUCAUGACGGUACCGUAAGAAUAAGCACCGGCUAACUACGUGCCAGCAGCCGCGGUAA